rnacentral:lncRNA from 1 species
GACCAUCACCUCAGAAAGCAGCCCCGCUGGGAGGUCCACGGAGCAGUUCGCCGAGCUGUGCACAGGCCCUUUAUUUUCCAUCUGUCAAGAAAGGAAGCUGCCUGUUGCUUAUUUCCUCCUCCCACUCUUCUCCCUUCCCGCCAGCAGACUCUUCCACUUUCAAAAUAUUCUGAUGGGGGAUCACAGGAGUUUUCCUCAAACAAGAUCACUUGGGGUCAACUACUGAGCAACUCCCAGCCUCAGCCCCACCCAUUCCCUCACCCUCCAGCUUGAGCAAUAGCUCCAGUUAGUAAAGCAGUUGGAUCAACAGGACAACAACCAAAAGUGACCUUCUACGUCCUAAAGCCCUUGCCUGACACCACCUCUUUUUUUUUUUAAAUUAUUCAGGGGCCUUUUGGGGACCCCCAGUUGAGCUGUAUUCUGCAGAAAGAACUUCCAAACGAAAGGAAUAAGGCAUUGUUUUACCAAGAGCCUUUUCUCCCUCAAGAAACACAAUGUAAACUAGGAAACUUGCACUUUCUUUUACCUUUGGGUAGAUGAGCAGAAGGGAAGAGUUACUACCCAGGGUGAGGUCAUUCCUCCAUGGUGGUAGAAUAUCUGGUUCUUUCAGUUUCCCCAUGGUGCUGGCCUCACAAUAGGUGUUCAUGAGGUGCAGGCUAAUUGGGUGAGUGGAUGCAGUGCUCUGAUGGAUUUAUUCAGUGUACAAGAUUGCAAAGCCAUGUGCCAGCAAAGGCUUAACCACCCCACCCUACCCUUCAGACCAGCCCCAUAGCUUUCCAUGUCCCUGUCUGCCCAGCCUCAGGCCAAAGCAAAGGCAGGGAUCUGAGCUGUACCCACUGUGAAUGCCCAUCUCCUGACCCCUGUGCUAGUGUCUUGUCCCUGCAUGCCUCGGCUGUCUUCUCUCUGGACUAUGAUUCAUGGCAGAUAUUAAAAAGGAAACAGCAUCCUUCAAUUCUUUCUACCAUUUCUCUUAUCUUUAAAGGGUUCUUAUUAAGCAGUAUCUUCAAACUUAUUUAUGUGAUGUCAUGCUAGGAAGCAGCGUUGUCAAUGUGCCACUUUCCAUGAGCACUGAAUUCAGUAAAAAUAAAAGCCAAAUAAAUGAUA